rnacentral:lncRNA from 1 species
UGCCUCUUUUUCUUUUUGAAAAUUCAUCUAUACCCCAUGGGUUUUAUCUUUUUGGGUAGAUUAACUAAUGUCCAUACAUCAAUGAUCUCCAUGGACUUCAUCUCGGAUUUUAUGAUAUCAAACCACUUGUCAGAGUCGGAUCUCUGCAUGGCAUCCAUGUAGGCGAUCAGAUCCUCAUCGUUCUCAUUUAGUUUAAUAGG